rnacentral:tRNA from 1 species
GCCUGGGUGGCUCAGUCGGCUGAGCAUCUGACUUCGGCUCAGGUCAUGAUCUCACGGUUCGUGGGUUCGAGCCCCGUGUCGGGCU